AUUGAACGCUGGCGGCAGGCCUAACACAUGCAAGUCGAGCGGAGCGGCGGACGGGUGAGUAAUGCCUAGGAAUCUGCCUGGUAGUGGGGGCUAACGUCCGGGAACGGGCGCUAAUACCGCAUACUAUCGGAUGAGCCUAGGUCGGAUUAGCUAGUUGGUGGGGUAAAGGCCUACCAAGUCGACGAUCCGUAACUGGUCGGAGAGGAUGAUCAGUCACACGGGAACUGAGAAACGGCCCAGACUCCUACGGGAGGCAGCAGUGGGGAAUAUUGGACAAUGGGCGAAAGCUUGACCCAGCCAGGCCGCGGGGGUGAAGAAGGUCUCCGGAUUGUAAAGCACUUUAAGGUGGGAGGCGGUACCAACAGAAUAAGCACCGGCUAACUUCGUGCCAGCAGCCGCGGUAAUAC
rnacentral:rRNA from 1 species